rnacentral:tRNA from 1 species
GCCCAGGUGGCGAAAUUGGUAGACGCACUGUGUUCAGGUCGCAGCGUGGGAAACCAUGUGCUGGUUCGAAUCCAGUCCUGGGCACCA